rnacentral:lncRNA from 1 species
ACGAUGAAGAAAAAUCAUGGAAAAAAAAACCCAACGAGGUAUUGAUUGAAGAAAAAAUAGGGAUCAUACCUUCACAGAUGGAGGAAGGAAGCUAUUCAUCUUCUGUUGUAGAGAGAAAAGCUAGGGCGAGAGAAAAAUGUCUGAUGAAAUACUUGAGGGAAGGUUGGAUUUAUUAUGGCCUUUGUUAUUUAUAGCUCUCCC